GUCCACGCCGUAACGAUGGGAACUAGGUGUCGCGGGUAUUGACCCUGCGGUGCCGCAGCUAACGCAAUAAGUUCCCGCCUGGGAAGUACGGCCGCAAGGCUAAACUCAAAGGAAUUGACGGGCCCGCACAAGCGGUGGAGCAUGUGGUUCAAUUCGACGCAACGCGAAGAACCUUACCCAGGCUUGACAUGUCAGGAACCCCCAUGAAAGUGGGGUGCUCGCAAGAGAACCUGAACACAGGUGCUGCAUGGCUGUCGU
rnacentral:rRNA from 1 species